rnacentral:lncRNA from 10 species
UUUGAAGGAAAGUCCUAGAUUUGCAUUAAACUGUGACAUGAGUGAGAAAGACAAUUUUGUGUGAAGGCACUGAGAUAUUCUGGUUAUUUUUUAACACAAUCAAAAUUAAGUACCCUGAAAUAUAUAAGAAGUAAAUGCUAAUUCAUAAAGUAAAAAUCUUAAGUGCCGUAGAAGUUUAAAGAAGAUGGAGAUCUGUUAACAUCUCAACAUUAUGAACUCGAAUACUCCAUAGAGACUUAGUUUCUCACACUCUGUUUUUAAAUGAGUUGCAGUAGUCAAGAGGAAAACAUAUGGAAGAGAAAGAAAUCAAGCUGGACUUUGGAGAGAUGAACAGUGAAGAGAAGAGACAAUCCCAGGGUUUCAGCUGUGAUUCUACCAUGAGUCAGAAAGUGGUCUCUCUGUGGAGCCCGCCAGGAGCCUUCAGAACGCCCAUGCCUUCUCCAUGGCAGCCUCUCCACCAUCUUCCCGUCCAAGCGAAUAGUCCAUGCUUCCUGCUCAUUCCUUAGACUCUCCUGCCACUGGAUGACACAGCAAGGAGGCCUUUACCAGAUCCCAGCACUUUCGUCUUGGAUUUCCCAGCCCCUAGAACGCACUUCUUGCUGCCACUGUGUGAAGAAGGAUGUGUUUGCUUCCCCUUCCACCAUGAGUGUUAAGUUUCCUGAGGCCUCCCCAGCCAUGCUGAACUGUAUUUCCAGUGAACUUCUAAGGAGUCAACAGUUGACAAACCAAAAGAUCCUACCAAGACCCAAUCAAGAUCCCUCCUUUACUGCAUACAUGAAGAUCUGGAGAAAUACAUUCCCCUGAGAUUUCUUGAUCCUCUAAAUUGGGAUCGAGGGAGUGUCUCUGACCUCAAGAUUGAGGUAUGACUUGAAUUGGGUCUGAGCUCCAAUUUUGUUUUGUCAAUUCACAAACAUUAUUUUCCCAGGGAGGGACAAAGAAGCAUUUUAGGCAUUUUUUUUAAAAAAGAAACAUUUUAGGAAUUAUUAACAUUUUAAAGAAGUAUUUUAAAUAUUAGAUAAAGAUUUAGGUAUCACAUAUUAUAUAAAGAAGACUUUUAGGAAUUAUUAAGUAGAAAAUUGCCUAUUUUUCUAACAACAUGUCUUAGUGUGUUCUCACACUGCUGUAAAGAGCUUCUCUGAGACCAGGUAAUUUAUAAAGGAAAGAGGUUUAAUUGACUCACAGUUCUGCAUGGCUGGGAAGGCCUCAGGAAACUUACAAUCAUGGCAGAAAGGGAAGCAGGCACCUCCUCACCAGUGGCAGGAGAAAGAGUACAAGCAGGGGAAAUGCCAGACAUUUAUAAAACCAUCAGAUCUCAUGAGAACUCACUUACUAUCAUGAAAACAGCAUGAAAGACACUUCCCCCAUAAUCCAAUCACUUCCCUCUCUCUACACAUAGGGAUUACAAUUCAUGAUGAGAUUUGGUUGGGGACACAAAGCCUAACCAUGUCACAACAUUUUGGAUCAUCUCUGUCUUUCUGUUACAAGUCUUUAAGACGAAGCCUAUAGAGAGAGGAGGUGCAUAGGCCAAGUGCGUCCAUCCCAAGUACUGAAGAAUUUAAAAGAUCAUAUCACGAUGGCAUUAUUUGGACAUAAUUUGCAUUGGGUCAGUUUUCUAAAACCUUAUACAUAUGCUCUGAGUGGAUGUAUUAAUAGUUUAUGUAUACCUUAAUAAAAUUGAUUUAAAGUAAACAUUUAAGGACUUUCCUGUGGCUUGUCUUUGUGUCCCUAGAAUUGGUUUAUUUAGUUUUGUCUGACCUGAGUUGGAGGGUUUUUUGGGCCCUGUAUUAGUCUGUUUUCAUGCUGCUGAUAAAGACAUACCUCAGACUGGGGAAUUUACAAAAGAAAGAGGUUUAUUGGUGUUACAGUUCCACAUGGCUGGGGAGGCCUCACAGUCACGGUGGAAGGCAAGGAGAAGCAAGUCACAUCUUAUGGGAUGGAAGCAGGCAAAGAGAGCUUGUGCAGGGGGACU